CGAAUCGAUAUCGCGGUACUUUGAUGCCACACGUGACAGUCACAAGGCGUCGGCGUCGCCUCAAGUCGGACAAAAUUUCUAACCAGCAUGCACUGCUUCAAGUCAGAAUUUGAUCGAGCUGCGCAGCGCUGCGUUAAGUCGAACACACCUUUUAUGUACUGUUGUGGUGCAUCAUGGGCGGUGGAAGAAACCAAAUGCAGAGAAUGGAGGGGAUUGUUUGCGUUAGACUAAAAUGCCUUUACAAUGUUGAAACAUGAACAAGGUCAUGUACAAAAAUAUACUUAUAAUUUUAUAUAAUUAUAAGAUUGGUGUUUGUUUAUUUAGUGAAUAAAACUCUUGGUUAUUUGCAAUCCUGUAAAUGGUUGUGCCCAUAAGUAUAAAUGUACAGCAGCGGAACUGGCAGGUGAUUGUUGGUCUGAGAUGGAAGUUGGAGAGUGAAGAACCCUCUGAUGACUGGAAAUAUAGCAUGCCAGCUGGAAUCUUGGAGUUGGAUAUACUGCUUUCCUGUACAAUAAUGGCGUUUUGCUUAUUACGGCUGAUUCUACCAGAGGACAUGGUGACUUCACUUUCUUCCAGACCACAACCCAAGCAAGUAUAUUUGCUUUCUCUAAUAGCUGUAUAUUUAAUCUUAAUUGAAUUGUCUGCUUUACAAUUUCAGGCUUUGUGUAAACUUAACUAGUUGAAACAGAACUGAUUGUUUCCAUUCUGCAUGUUGGCCAUUAGGUUGAGCUGUGUUCCCUAAAAGUUUUAUGAUGGUGAAUGCAGACUUUGAAAGCAGCCUUUGAUUAGGUGUAGUAAUUGUUGAGAAGUCAUCUGAGCUUGUUUACUAGAAAUAAGGAAGCAGAGAUGCAUUUAGCUAUGUGCUUAAUAAAGCUUUAGGGUUGUUAAAAUUGUUGACAGAUUGGAAAAACAAAGGCUCUCCAGUGUUUGCUUGUUUAUUUAUUUAUUUAUUUAUUU